UACGGAGGGUGCAAGCGUUAUCCGGAUUCACUGGGUUUAAAGGGUGCGUAGGUGGGCAGGUAAGUCCGUGGUGAAAUCUCUGAGCUUAACUCAGAAACUGCCAUGGAUACUAUUUGUCUUGAAUAUUGUGGAGGUAAGCGGAAUAUGUCAUGUAGCGGUGAAAUGCUUAGAUAUGACAUAGAACACCAAUUGCGAAGGCAGCUAACUACAGGGAUAUUGACACUGAGGCACGAAAGCGUGGGGAUCAAACAGG
rnacentral:rRNA from 1 species